CACAGCUGUAAGAAGAACAACACACUGCCUUGCCUGCUAAUUUCUAGGUCCAGGUGACAACCUGUGGCUCGUUAAGAGAUGGAGCUAAUUGGAGAGGAGCAGGGGGAGGAGGUUGGGUCUCUGCCAGCUGUGCUGCUCCUCACCCUAAGAUAAAAGGGAGACAGCAGGGUGUGGUGACUGUUUCUGAGAUGGAGUUUGGCUGGGGGAAAUGUUAGUCUUGGGAUUAGGAAGCUUUCUCAUGGACUCCUGUGGGAGAGAUGAAGAGAGGUGAGGAAGGAGCUGCCCCAUAACUAGAAGUUGGAUGUUCUGGGAAGUGCUCUGCUGCGUGGAAAGAAAUGUUUCUUCAGAAUGAACUUUUUGCUGCCUGUUUGACACUUGCUUUCCAGGUCCAGACUCCAGCCAGGAUCAAGGGUAGAGCUGGAAACUUGGGAGAAACAAAGUUCUUGUGAAAUUUUCAGACAAAUUUUGGAAGCCCACACAGCCUACACUGGUUGGACAAGCUUCAAAAUAAGUACAUGCUUCUCAAAGCUUUGAUGCAUCCGGACCUUUUGGGAUUUCUGCCAUUGAAGGUCAGCUUAGCUGCGCCCACACCACCACUCAAAGCAGGGAGGAGAGCCUAGGGCCAGACCAACUCGGAGACGUUGCAUCAGCACGGCAGGUCAAGUGAACACCGAACCUGCAGCAAGAACAGAGCUGCAUCCUUAGACUCCCUCCUUUCCAGAAAAUUAAGUGAGGUCACUCAGAAAGCAGAGAAAGAAGAGGGGAUGUAGACUGUACCCCAUCCUACACAUCACAGUGAUUUAUACUAAAAUUAAUGGCACUCAGCUGCUCGCCAGCUCCUUUCCCACAGCACCAGGAAUGUCGCGCACUGAGAAAACCUGCACCCCUGAAAGCAGCACAUCUUUCACAAUAAGAGAAUUCUGAAUACUUGCAGGCAAACACCGGACACCAGGCAGUCCCUCCCACAGCACCAAAGACUAUUUGACACUGCUGCAAAGGAGGACAUUGAAAUGUGCACUCAUCAAUGAUGACUUUUAAAGGAAACAAUAACAACACCUUUCUGACCUCAAAUUUUCUAUUGGAGGAUGAAAGCCCCACUGAAAAUUCUUGCUGAAGAGGCCAGAGCUUCUGGACCUGGAGCCUGAGGGACAUCCUGGGGGCUCCCACUGAAGGCAUCUCCCAUCAAAAGGGCCAUAGAGAUGGCAUGGGCAGGGUGAAGCAUAUCCCCACCCAAUCUCUUGGGUUACCUCAUGGUAAACACUCUCACCCCUUUCCUUCCCCUCUAGCCAGCACUGGCCUGCACAGUGGGCAUUUGCAUGCUUCUUAGCCAUUUUUAAUUAGAUCCUGAAAAUUCUUAUAUUAUGUUGUACCUUUCCACCCUGGGCCCUCACUGACUAUGGCCACUUGUGACAUUCUUAGCCACUUGCUUUCAUUCUUAGCACAGACAUGAAAACAGAUUUCUGUGUUCUUUGGACAAGUUAUUAGGCUUACAAUUAGUAAAGAGAACAAUGUCAGGCUCUGUGUAAAAGUUACAAGUGUGAAAUCGAGUUCUGCCAGUAAAUUGCUACCUUUUCUUUAGCAUUGCAAGCCACGCUCUCCAGUUUAUUUGAACACAUAAAAUAUGCUAAAUGUUUAGCAGCACCACUGUGUAAAGAAGAGUUGGAUGAAGUAUAUAUUUUUAAAUACAGUGAGUAAUAAAAUGUUGAGUAAAUUCCCAAGAAUAUCAUUUUGGGGCAAGUACAAUAGAAUGCUUAAUGGCAUAUAUUCCCAGGUUUGCUGUUUUUAUUCCUCCUUUUCUCCCGCUUUAAUCUCCUCACCCAGACAGUGGUUGUUGUUAUGGGAGCUGCUAGAAAGGGCUUCAUCCAUAGACACUUCCAGCACCGAGAGAAUGAGACGAGGAGCACCAGGCAUUUGCAGUCAGUGCCUCAUGUUUCAGCAGUGCACUGGGCACUGCCCUGUGCCCACCCCUGGCUGCAGUAGAUGGCAUCGAGCUGCUGGGCAUGCACUUGGGUGGUGGUUCAUAAGGACCACAGGAAACAAGGAAAAUUAUAAAGCGAAUGGGGGGGGGGGAGGGAUAAAGGCAAACAAGCCUCCUUCACAAAUUCAUUUUCUCCAAAUUUAUUUCCUUUUCAUUUAACUCGGUUGAGAAAUGUCCCCCCAGACUUCAUCAGAAAAUCAAUCUCCCCAUUUAAAGUUCUAAACGCAGUUCUAAGCAGCUCUGAUAUGCAAAGCGGCGUGAGAAAUCCAAACCCUCAUCAGACAAUCUGCACGUUGUUUGGAGCCACCGCUGCAGGUGAAGUCAGCAUCACUUCUCUCCAGACCAAACUCUGUGGGCUGAAUUGAGCCGAUGCUGCCCAGUUCCUGUGGCAAUUCCUGUAGCUGGGCUUCGGUAUGCAUAAACUCUCCACAUUUAGGAUAUUACCCUUCACAGAGCAGCUUAAUAUUUCAACAGGCCUUUUUAAUUUCGUAGCGCAAAUCACCUUUUACCCUUUGCCACACAGUUAUGCGCCGGGUAGCGCAGUGCACCCAUAUACCCACUGUUUAGCUGGUUUUAUACUGCUGGUUUGCAACUAACUGUCUGUACUUUGUUUCAAUAUUAAAAACUGUCUGCUGUAUGGUAGCUCUGAGAUCAUGUUCCCAAACCGCUCUCAGUUCCUGCUGCCUUUCUGUGCUAUCUAUCCUGGAAAUGGGAAUCUUUAUUCCAUAGGCUCAUAAGAGGGUAAAUAUACAUUUUCUAAUUCUAGGAGAUAUAUUCAAAAGAAAAACAAACAGCAGAUUCUGAUGUUAUAGUUCUCAUAUUUAGCCUGUAUUUUCUAGAACGUUACUUUUUAGUUGUUUUAAAAGUUGUACUAACUGUAAUCUAGGGAGACGUUACCUUCAUUUUGAAGCAUCAACCAAACACCAUAAUAUAAAUGAUGCAUAUUUGUUAUCUUUAAUUGUAUAUAUAUAAAAUAAAUAAAUAAUAACUGGGUAGUAUGGAGCAGUAUAUUUUCUAUACUGUCUCUGAGUUAUCAGUUGAUACAAGACAGUGCUACCAGUACGAUAGAUGUUCAAACUGCAAAUGUUUGGCACCAGGUAAAAAGUCUGUGGAGGGAUGGAACAACAUUCACUGCAGUUUGCUGGAUCAGCUCACCUUGUAGUAUGUCUGGGAGCUGAAUUUUACCCACAUACACAUGUAUAUCACCCAUUAAUACCCAUAGGCUGGAAGGCUGCCCUUCUAGAGAGAGAAAUCUCAGCAUCUCUAAUGAGCGGCCAAUUCCCACAUCCUGUGGCAUCUCCAAAUGAUAUUUGGCAGAGAUCUGCCUUUAUGGGAGUUGUAUUGAUGGAGUUUUCUCUCCAAGCAGAGCAGCACUGGCAAUAUGCAGGGGAUGAAUUUCUCUUCUAAUACAUUUUCCUUUCAGGAGUGAAGACAGUUUUGGCCAGCGAACCAACUACUUCAUCUGUGAGUGAAAAGCCCUGAAGUUACACUUUCUUUCUGUCUUUUGCAACCACUUUCUACAUGACUGCCAAUAUCAAUGGAAGCCAACAAUUCACCACUUAAAGCGCAGAGAGGGGGGAAAAGAUUAGUCCUCUACAAUUUAGUCUUUUCUUUCUUUCCUGGGGAAAAAAUAAGAAGUUGCCACAUCAUAAAGGAAUGACAGAACUGCCCAAAGUAACAAUGGUAUGAACCGUUAAUUAUUUCAGGCAGUCCCUCCAGCAAGCAGUGACAGUCCCAGGCUGGGUCCCCUGGUUGGAACUCACACUCCUU
ensembl:lncRNA